AGAUCCUUAGGGGCCAAUGUCAUCAAUUUGGACAGUAGAUCAGCCCUUGAAUUCUCAGAUUGAGGGACUUGCUAAACAUCGAAGCCAUCAAAUUCUGAAGUUAGGUCCUUCACCUUUUAUACAUAUUUCUUUAUAUUCUUCUCUCGGGCUUCGAAAUCUCCUUUUAUCUGUCCAACCACUAGUUGUGGAUCAGUGCAGAUCCUUAGCUUUUUCACCC
rnacentral:lncRNA from 1 species